CUUCCUCCCUCCCCAGUCCCCCGCCGCCUCCCUCCCUCCACGCCGAUCGGAUCAGGGCGCGGCGACAGCCCGUUCCCUCAUGCGGCGCGCCAUGCCAUGCGCGAAGGCCAGCGCACCCGACACCCGGAGGAGGACGGGGCAGGACGGAUCCGAUGCGGCGGUGAGAGGUGGCAUUGGGUGGCGCGAAGGAGGCUUCUCGCCACCAGCCCUGCGCGAGCUCGAGCCCUGACAAUCUCUCCCUUUCAAUCCAGUUGUUUGGCAGCUAUAUGGAGUCUGAUCCAGUGAAAAUUGCUGUUGAGGGUUUGGAGAUGUACUGGAAAGAGAAUUGUGACCUCAUCUUUGCAGGUACAAGUGGAAGUCACAAGCAAGAAGCAGCACUCUUCUGAAGAAAUGCGGCAAGUUUCAGAAGCAACAUAGGUAUUAACCAGGCUGCAUUUGAGCAGGCACAACUGCACAAGCCUUUAAACAAAGUAUUUCUGUUGGUGUUGUGAUUGGUACAAAAAUGGAUGGUCACUCUAAAGCAGGUGGUACUCUUAGCGUGCAUGGAAUAUGUGUCAGGCUUUAUGGACAAGAUUCAUGAAUGAAGCUCCUGCAGAAACUGAGCUAUUGCCUACCUAUCUAUAGCCUGAGCUUCUGCAGACUGUCUGAAUGAAGCUUUAUUCUCAAGCUUACGUUACCUCUUCUCUAUGUUGUCUGGCUGGCUGGCCUGUCAAGGAUGUCAUUGACAUGCUAGAAGAGUAUGAGCGGCUAGAUUAAAUCAGGGUAAGAUGAAAGGUCUCAAGAUUCUGUCCCACAACAUGAAUAUCCAGCAUAUGAGCAAGGUCCUCUCGCCAAAUUUGCUCUCUCAUAUGAAACAGAUGCGAUCAAAAGAGAUGAGUUGAAUGUUUGGAGACAUGGGCCCGCGAGCCGUAAUUUUACAUGUUCAAGUCUUGUUUUAGGUGCAUCCUCCAUGUGACUCUGGUGAAAGGGCUUUUGAGAAGGUUUGUUAGCAGCGCUCUAAGCUGGUUCGUUGGAGUGUUGGAAGCUAGCAGAGCACACCUAUUUGUUCGGAGUCAGGGACAACUGUACCUCCUCAUUACGGCUCUGAUGGAUGAUGUUGUGAUGCAAUGAACCUGCACAUUUCAUCUAGAACUUGCUCCGCCGGCCAAUUGGUGAGCAGCUAGGUUUGAGGGUAGAUUGUUAUGUUUGAGGGUAAUUUCAUUUUUUGUUAAUUCACUGCAGCCUGUAGGCCUGCCAGUUCGGUGCAAUCUUCGUUGCAAUGGUGAACACCUCCUGAACAAUGGGCUCUAAUCUAUUCUCUUCUUUCAAUGUAUUUGCACAUUUUCACACUGUUAGAUUCAAGAGGUCUAGCCCAGCUGUGGGCACAAUAAAACAUCAAAUGCCGCCCCUUGUAUGCUUCAGUUAUCAUCCAAGUGAAUUGUAGUCUGUCUUCAUCACUGUAAGAUACCACUAUCCCAUAGCUGCCAGAAUUCACUAAAAGGGUGCCUGCUAUGUACAUUUUAUUCAACCAAAAGAAGCCAUUAACUGUAGAACAGCUAAAAUAAAAUUAUAAUGCACUUGUAUUUCUUACGGAUGGACAGUUGGAUUCACUCUCUUGCAAUUUUUUUCAUAGUCAUUUACCUUUUUAGAGGCUUAUGAUUUUGAAGAUUUUUAAUCUAUGGUUGAAGAAAUUGCCAAGCAAGCACUACAGCCAAAUUGACGUUGGUGAGUCCUGUUUCCCACUAUUUUCUUUGUUUUCUAUAUAUUAGUUGCAGAUGUCAAGAUUAGAGUUUAGGAUGCAUUGUGAUAUGUGUGCUAGGUUGGUCUAGCUAACUGACAAUUACUCCAUUGAUCACCGGAUGGAUACUUCACUUUCCUAAGUUCAUAUUGCUAGCACUCACAUUAUGAGACGAUUUCUUACACGACACCCAAGAUGGAUCAAGUAGUAAGAAUAUAAGAAAAUGAAGCAGUGGCUGGCUAGCUAGCCUGACUCCUAUGAGUUCCUGAUUUUGGCACGCCAUGUGCUGUGUGAUGGCAGAAAAUUCCAAAUGUCUUGUGCAGGCAUGACUUAGGACUCACAGAAGUCAAAGGUAACAAGGUGUGAGGUGCAGCAUUUAAAAGAAUUAUGAUGUGCAAAUCUCUGCCACUUGAAAAGAACGUACAUGUGGUGGCAAUUGGCUCAUUCCAUGGUUGAUUUUAGUCGAUUUAACAUGGUAUUUGAUACAGCUAGGGGGGCAUUGUUAUCCAUAUGAAAAAAUGCCAUUUUUCUCCAUACUCGUAUCCUCUCAAAUUAGAAUGAACCUAUAUUUUUCUAGGGCUGCAAGAAAAACCAAUAUUUUAGUGUAUGCUUCCUUUGUGCUUAUAGUAUCUUCUAUACAUUGGCAAAUCACAACAGGCAAGCGAGAGAAUUGCAUUGCCCUUUUUUCGUAUUUGUCCUGCUCAUAAAUGUCCUCUAACUAUUGGUUUCCCUGGAUUGUUUAAGAUCUUGAAGGAAGCUAUGGUCAUACAAUUGCAUAUCUUCAAGUGAGGUUUGUUGUCUAGCUAUCUAUUUUUCUUAUUGUGUUUUCUAAAUUUCUGGAAGUUAACUUUAGAUAUUCAACUCCUCUGUAGAUUUUGAGUAAGGAAUUUAUUGCUUACUAUAUGAUCAUUGAUUUGCUGAUGUACACUUGUUUUUCCCAAUGAGAUGUUAUAUUGGUAAUCAGUUAAAAAGCUCCGGUCUUGAUCUCAGGUUCUUUUCAAAAGCUCCUGUCUUUUAGUUGUGGUACUGAAUAGUACAAUGCAACAUCUGCAGGUGUUUUUAUAUACUGUAGAGCCUUCAAAUUUAGCAGCUACGCAGAUAGUUUGGAGCGUGACCACAGCGUCGCUGAUCUCCGAUCCGUUGUGGCUCUGAGCGCAGUGAUUCCCUCUGCGGCUCCAAGCGCGGCGACUCCAAGACCACCUCAUGCUUGCAACACUGACGUCCUGCUAUGCGUCAUAAGCACAGUUUCUUAAUUAGUGAUUCUAAUCAAGUCGCAUAUCCAGUUAUCACUAUCAGCAAGGACUUUGUUGGUAAAUGCCUGCGAAGAAGGAAAAUCAGAAAUGACUGAAGCUUUUUUAAUGUCAAAGUUGUACUUUAACGAUAAAGAAGUAGCUGCAAAGGAAUUUCUAUCGGUGUGCCUCUUCAUCUGCAUCUUCUAGAACUUCAUUUUUUGAUUCACCAGAAAUAAAUACAUAGUGCCGCUUGGUUCUUCCUUACUUUGAUUGUAGUAUUACCGUAUACUUCAGUACUUGAUGAGCAUAUACUUGGUUCUUCGUUAAUCUGCAUCUUUAGAACUU